rnacentral:lncRNA from 1 species
AUAUUCUCUUCAAUGUUCAGGAAGCCUGCCCUGUGCUUGAGAGUACAAGGCUGGACACAGGCUCGUGGGUCUCCACAUUGGGUCCCUGUCUCUGGUGCCCACAGUGAGCUCCUUCUUUGCUGAGCAGGCAUGGAGACUGUAGGUUUCCAGAUUUCCUGAAAAAUAAAAGUUUACAGCAUUAUCUUUCCACAACCUCACUAAACGAUUGGCCAAGAGAUUUCUGUCCUAAUUGCCCAGAAUUCUGUCAUCUGGCUACUCAAGGCUAUCGGGGAAUGGGGUGGAAGCCAUUAUCUACUGAUGGACCGGGUUUCUCAGAUUCUUCAAGAUCACGGUCAUAAUGUCACCAUGCUUAACCACAAAAGAGGUCCUUUUAUGCCAGAUUUUAAAAAGGAAGAAAAAUCAUAUCAAGUUAUCAGUUGGCUUGCACCUGAAGAUCAUCAAAGAGAAUUUAAAAAGAGUUUUGAUUUCUUUCUGGAAGAAACUUUAGGUGGCAGGACUUGGAGAACUUCAUUGCCAAGUUUGGGGACUCUGGUUUUGUCCUUG